UACAGAGGGGGCGAGCGUUGUUCGGAAUUACUGGGCGUAAAGGGCGCGUAGGCGGCCUUCUAAGUCGAGCGUGAAAUCCCCGGGCUCAACCCGGGAACUGCGUCCGAUACUGGGAGGCUUGAAUCCGGGAGAGGGAUGUGGAAUUCCAGGUGUAGCGGUGAAAUGCGUAGAUAUCUGGAGGAACACCGGUGGCGAAGGCGGCAUCCUGGACCGGUAUUGACGCUGAGGCGCGAAAGCCAGGGGAGCAAACGGG
rnacentral:rRNA from 1 species